CAUUUCUAUUUUUUCCUCUUUCACUGGUAUAAUUUCAAAGACAUACACUGAAGGACAGCAGUGCAUCCCAUAUACUUUUGUAAGAAUGCAAAGCACAUCCCUUCCAUGAAGCUUCUGUGGAGACUGCUGAUCACAAGGGACAGAGAAUUUUGUCAUUAAAGGCAAAAUGAGUACAUAUAUCAACCUCUCAAAUGUACAACUGUGUAUCUCUGUACAAAGGAAUUUUCUGAAGCAACUUCUUCAAAUGGAAGACAUAGGGACAGGCUUCUUCUCAUAAUUCAACGUAUCUUGAAGUCUUUGAACUGCUCUCCUAUUUUUGCCUUUCUACACAUUCCAUAUCACUCAGCUGCAGCAUCAAGAUGUGUUUUGCCCACUGCAAAAGAGUUCUCUUCUAAGCAAAUUUCAGGUGUUGGCUUAAACAAGCAGACAACCAUUCUUCAUAUUCCUUGGGAUUUAUCUCACAGAGAAUCAGAACUGCAGUAUGUGACCACUGGCUUUCUUGUUUACUUCAUUGGCAGUAGCAUUAUCUCUGUUUUAAAUCCAACAACAUAGCUCUAUAUUUUGCAAAACAUGUCUUAUAUGCCAAAUGGUGGUACAGCGUAUUACCAUGAAUUCUACCAUUAGGACUGAAACAGGAUCAAGGAAAUUCGUCACUGAUUUUUCUCCAUUGUCCUGAUUCUCCAUCUUUCUAGCAGAGCAACUCCACCACCAGGACCGUGAGUCUUGAUGCACACUUAGUAAGUAUGCUUUUCAUACCAAGAGAUUUCACAUCAUGCCCAUCUGAAGAUAAAAAAUGCAAUUGUCAGUGUAAGUUCAUCUUGAAGACCCAGCAUGACUCCCCCUGGCAUUAAAAAGAAAACACAGUUUCUUCACAAAAGGAUCACAGAAAAUAAAGUUAUAUUGGUGUCAAUGUUGUGCAAUAGUGAGAGCUGUUUGAGAAUUACGACUCACCUUAAAGGCCUUGAAUGGAAAGGAAUAUCUAGUAGCUUUUUAUUGACAUGAUCCCUUUGUACCUGUGAAAACAGUCCCUACAGAUCAAUUAGAAAAGGGUAUUAGAAUUAAAAAUGCUUGUUACAAUGAAUUCAAUAAUAUCUCACAACCAGUUCUUACAGAACUAGAAAAACUUCAGUCCCGAAUAUUGCACUCAGAGCUUAAAAGUAGUUGGUGGUAAAUGUCUGGUAGAUUAUGAGUACUACUGGUAUAACAAUAACAAAAUUUAUAAACCAGCUUUAAAUAUAUUUUUUUAUGAUUUUGGAAGACUCUUACUUUAAUCUUUAAAAUUGAGAAAGACUGGAUCCCUAAAGUUAGUAAGUUGUACCACUAACUCUUAGCUGUUACGUAGCUCCCAUGUUCCUUAGCUGAAUGACAAUUUUGAAGUAGAACAACACCCCAUGCUUAUGGAUGAAAUUUAGAAAAAUUAAGAAAUCCUAAAGUUCUUCAGACACGCUUCCUAUAAAUGGAAGCACAGGAAUGUCAUCCUAUUCUUUGUCUUUAAAUACAGAUUAUUAUCCUUUAUAUAUAAAGAACUUCAAAUGAAAUAGAAUGUUCUUUGUUUGUGCCUGGGUUUUGAAUGACAUUUUAAUAUUUUUUUCAUAAACUAAACUCUUUUCUGUUAUGAGAUAUACUACUCAAUUCAAUUAGUUUAUUUUGAUGACUGGGUGGUAUUUAUUGGUAGCUUUUCUUGACGUUCCCGUAAAAGGUAUUCUUUGACCAUCAGUUCCAGGAAUACACUUUUACAUCUUUUAUUCAUUGCUAUCUUUACAUCUUCUCUAGGUAAGAGAGACAAUUUUCCAUAUCCAAAUACUGGAAGUCAUUGCUGGUCCUUGUAUAAGCGUGUACAUUAAAAGCAUGGUCCUGGCACUGACAUGUAGAAAUUACUGUUUAUUGUAUCAAUCAUUAAUCAUUAACCUUGCUUUUUUCUCCUUGUGUUUUAUCUGCUAAGGCUUUUAUUAUCUUAAGGACAUAAAUUCUUUGAGCCAUGGUCUGUCUUUUUCUUUUGUAUGUGCAUAGUGCCUGACAGUCAAAUCUCAUUCUGUUGUAUAGAAGUAAACAAUAAAAAUAGAAAUAAUGAUAGUAAAA